rnacentral:rRNA from 1 species
AUGUAUCUUGCUGUACAAGUGUGCUUGUUAAUGUUGGUGGCAUUAAGUGCCAUCAGGAUGUCCUUUCUACUCUUAAUGGUUCUAAUGAGUAAUGCUUGUACGAAUUGGAGUGUUUUGUGCUGGAAUGUUAGGGGUUUAAACUCUGAAGCUAGGCAAAGAGCAGUCAGGCAGAAAUUGGAUGAGAGCCUUUGUGUUGUUGCAUGCUUCCAAGAGACAAAAUGUGCCUCUUUUGAUUUCAGGUCUAUUAGAUCUUUCUGCCCUAAAAGAUUUGAUAGUUUUGCUUUUUCCCCUUGUGAGGGUGCCUCUGGGGGUAUUUUAAUAGUGUGGAAUUCCUCUGUAUUUUGGGGCACUGUCAUUGAGAUUCAACACUUUGCAGUUGUAGUUCAGUUCAUCUCAAAACAAAAUAAUGAGCAAUGGUCUCUUGUUUUUGUGUAUGGCCCAUGCCAAGGAGAGGCCAGGAACAUCUUUGUCAGUUGGUUAUAUAACUUGCAUAUACCCAUGGGUGAAAAUUGGCUUGUGGUGGGUGAUUUUAACUUUAUAAGAUCUCUGGAAAAUAGGAAUUUAUCAGGGGUGAUCUAA